rnacentral:tRNA from 1 species
GAAGAAGUAGCAAAGUUGGUCAAAUGCAACAGGCUGAAAACCUGGUGAUGGGAGUUCGAUUCUCCCCUUCUUCA